rnacentral:rRNA from 1 species
AGGAAUCUUCCACAAUGGACGCAAGUCUGAUGGAGCAACGCCGCGUGAGUGAAGAAGGUUUUCGGACCGUAAAGCUCUGUUGUUGGUGAAGAAGGAUAGAGGUAGUAACUGGCCUUUAUUUGACGGUAAUCAACCAGAAAGUCACGGCUAACUACGUGCCAGCAGCCGCGGUAAUCGUAGGUGGCAAGCGUUGUCCGGAUUUAUUGGGCGUAAAGCGAGCGCAGGCGGAAGAAUAAGUCUGAUGUGAAAGCCCUCGGCUUAACCGAGGAAUUGCAUCGGAAACU